GACGAACGCUGGCGGCGUGCUUAACACAUGCAAGUCGAACGAGACGGAUUGGGAGCUUGCUCCUGACAAGUCGAGUGGCAAACGGGUGAGUAACGCGUAGACAACCUGCCGCAAAGAUGGGGACAACAGCCCGAAAGGGCUGCUAAUACCGAAUGUUGCGCCCCUCCCGCAUGGGAGGGGCGCCAAAGAUGGCCUCUGCCUGCAAGCCAUCGCUUUGCGAUGGGUCUGCGCCUGAUUAGCCAGUUGGCGGGGCAACGGCCCACCAAGGCGACGAUCAGUAGCCGGUGUGAGAGGAUGGACGGCCACAUUGGGACUGAGACGCGGCCCAGACUCUACGGGAGGCAGCAGUGGGGAAUCUUGCGCAAUGGGCGAAAGCCUGACGGAGCAACGCCGCGUGGGGAAGAAGGUGUUCGGAUCGUAAAGCCCUGUUGCCCGGGACGAACGCCCCCGGCGCGAACAGCGCC
rnacentral:rRNA from 1 species